CUCGAGAGAGCGUCUUGGAUUGCUACUGGAUUAUUAGAACGUGUCGCAAUUGCAAAUUGCCGUUAAGAAGAGCGCGCGCCCCCUGUAAUUGUCCGGCACAUGCUUUGCUGCUUUGAACAGCGCCUCCAAUCGAUGAAGUUGUCUUAUUUUUUUUGGUCGGAGAGCUGGCGCUACAUUUGGAACAGUGGAAAUUAGUAGAAAUCAGUGGAAAUCAUGGUGGUCACUCGGUAGAACUGGCCUAGAUAGACGCUGUUUCCAGUAAACAGAACCGGCCUAGAUAGACGCUGUUUCCAGUAAACAGAACUGGCCUACUAUAGACGCUGUGUCAGUAAAGAGAAUUUUGUUGGGGUGAGUGGUGAAUGUCUGCAGGCUGCUGAAGGGAAAAUUUCUCUGGAACUUCAAGAAUUAUAUUUUUCUUUAUUUAUAAAGCACACCUAUUCUACAUUAUUGUUGCUCAAGGUGCUACAUCAUUAUUGGCCAUUGGGCCAAUGAAAAAUUCCAAAGUCAAUCUCAGCUCCCUGGGGAGUAUACAGCUCGAUGCUGCCAUUUUGGCUCAAAGUAGCUGAAAUCAACCACAAUAGCCAUCUCUGCCCUCACAGGUACCCAUUUACUCCUGGGUGGGUAGAAGCAAUGAGUGACAAAGUGUCUACCAUGGUCACACACACCAUAACCCUAGGCUGGUCUCGAACCCACAACCUGCAGACCAGGAAUUAAGUACGGCACUCCACAGAAAAGAAAAGACAAUGAAAGGAUGUCUCGGAUUUGGACUCUGUGCACAAACUAUAGAGGGCGCUUUGCGACCACAAUUUCAGUGGGAGCAACACAUCAAGUGUACUUAACUGGUUCAGCCGAAAAUGGCGAAGUACACACGACUUAUUGUAUCUGAUGUGCACAAGCCCAACGCGUCAGGCCUCAAACUGAAGGGGGGGGGGGCGGAGUGGGAGUUGUCCCUAGGGCUGUCCAUUUUUACAUAAUUUAGUAAGUUGAUUAUUUGAAGCAAGUUUUACAUGUGCCUCACGCCAUGUCGGUCGACUCUAUUAUAGGCCACGAAGUGUUUUGCAGCAUUAUAACUGUCGAGGGCUUUAACCUCCUAAGAGGAUGGGAGCAAUGAAACGAAGUCAACAAAAUGUGGCAUCAGAGAAAACGCUGCAUCUUUACUAUUAAAAUAACAUCGCAAUUGCGUGUAAACUGCGUUGUUCGCUGUUUUUUUUUUCUCUCUCUUUGUUUAAAAUAUUUGAGCCGGCAAAACUUUAUUUGAAUAUUCAGUUGAUUAUUCAUUUGAAUAAUCAGUAUACAUGUAUUCGCGACAGCCCCAGUUGUAGUAUCUUUCUCAUAACCUGACUUGACUGUGUGGCAGAUUUUGUGCUUGUAUCAUCAAAGGCACAAUUCCCCCAGAUUUCCCCGAUGUGCCCUGCUAUGUAGGCAACUACAUUAGGGUCACUUUCAUGGCAAUAUAUAUGUUUUUUAAUCUAACAGGCCCUUCGCGGAAACAAUUUAUAUUAAGCAGGAAGCAGGAAUUUUAAUUUGUUUUGUGGCGCCAAGUGCUCCGACUCCAAAGUGGCAUAACCAUGAUAACGUGUUAAAAUGAUUCUGUGUACAUGUAAUUUCAUGUCGUGCUUUUUGGCAAAUGUUUGGAGAAAUAAAAAUGAUUGACUGAUUUCAGAAA
rnacentral:lncRNA from 1 species